AAAGGACAUUUCACUGAUGUAACUUUUGAAACAAAGGAAUGCUGCAACCAAUUGGAAAGUGGGGAUCGCCGAUGACAAAUGCAGGCGCUUGAACUUGAUGAUUUAGGAGUGGAAGCCUGGGUGGAGGAUACUCAUCAUCACUAUCACAGUUGGAGCUUCGGUUUGAUCUCAGACCUCUUAAAGCCAUUGCUAAUAGUGUAGAAGAUCCCUAGCAGUUAGAGGGCGAAAGCAUUUAUGUAUAAAUCAUGUGAAAAAAUGACUGCAAUUUUGUUAAGAGUACAGAUGGUUCAAUGCAAUAAAGGAAAAUUUUCUGCAUUUUUCUCUUCAUGGUAUAACAUAAAUAAAUAACCUGUGCUAAGAUGAUCGAAAAGCCUAUCCAUUUGAAGAUAUCGAAGUUCGACUUGACGAAUUCUUUGAAAUCAUGGAACCUCCCCGUUGGAUCAGCAGUCAGAAUUUAGCAGAAUAUCAGCUGCCAUAGCACUCUCCAAAAGCAGAAGCAAAAGGAUAACCACCAUAUACUUUGUUCAUUCAAGAUCAACAAAUAUUUCAAAACAUCAACUUAAGGGUUUUUGUUUCAAAUUAUUGAGAAAGGAUACACAAGAAAGGCAGAAUCCAUUUGCACUAUCAGCAGCAAUAUGACCAAGGCCUGCUAUAAGGCAAAAGGAGACACCAAUCCCAAGAAAUGUGUAUAUAAACCUGCAAUUUUUAUACAAUGUUGGUAAAUCAACACAAAAAAGAACCAUUUCUAUUCUGUUCAAGCGAAAAACCUGUCGUCUGCAAAUAUUCAAACCAUCGGAAUCUUCAGAAAAAUGAGUGUUUGCUUAAUUUAACUGAAAACACAAGUAAAUAUGGGAGAGAAUUAACUAGCUGAAGAUUACCAUGGAGCAGUAGAGUUGAAAUCCUCAAAGGAUGAAUCUUCCAUGUCUCUUUGCCAGACUCUGAUCAUCCAUAAACCAUAAAGGAUCAUGGCAAUACCAACCAU